UACGUAGGCGGAAAAUUAAGUCAGUAGUGAAAACCUGCAGCUUAACUGUAGAACUGCCAUUGAUACUGUUAGUCUUGAGUACGGUCAAGGUAGGCGGAAUGUGUAAUGUAGCGGUGAAAUGCUUAGAUAUUACACAGAACACCGAUUGCGAAGGCAGCUUACUGGACCAUUACUGACGCUGAGGCACGAAAGCGUGGGGAGCGAACAGGAUUAGAUACCCUGGUAGUCC
rnacentral:rRNA from 1 species